CAGCCAAUCACUGUGCACAGAUCUUCAGCGCCGUCCAGAAUUUCCAGCAUUUAACCAGCCACAGCAAAGAAUUGUUGGAGUAGCGACUAAUCUUGACCCGUCAGAUACACGACCGUUCUUUUGUUACAGUAAGCUUGCAAGCAGAGCAACGAGACGGGUGUGUUCCUUACCUUUCCUGCCCAAGCUGUUUUCCAAUGUCCUCCGCAACUCUUAUCAGGAUUCACUAUUCGAAACCUAGUAAAUAAAUGUUGUUUUGGAAUAA